AUUUGACCUCAAAUCAGGUAGGAGUACCCGCUGAACUUAAGCAUAUCAAUAAGCGGAGGAAAAGAAAAUAACAAUGAUUCCCCUAGUAACUGCGAGUGAAGAGGGACAAGCUCAAAUUUUAAAUCUGUUAGGUUUACCUAACCGAGUUGUAAUUUGAAGAGGCGUUUUUCUGUGUUUUUGAUCAGCCCAAGUCCUUUGGGAUAGGGCAUCAUGGAGGGUGAGAAUCCCGUUCGGUUGAUCAGAUUCGCUUUACGAUACGUCAUCUAAGAGUCAAGUUGUUUGGGAUUGCAGCUUAAAAUGGGAGGUAAAUUUCUCCUAAGGCUAAAUAACGGCGAGAGACCGAUAGCGAACAAGUACCGUGAGGGAAAGAUGAAAAGAACUUUGAAAAGAGAGUUAAACAGUACGUGAAAUUGUUGAAAGGGAAACGAUUGAAGCCAGUCGUACCUUCGGGUAAUCAGCCUUUCGGGUGCGAUUCUGUGGAGCGUGGGGAGUUAAACGCCUUCAUGCCUGCAUAUUCGUGCACUUUGGGUGUACUUGCCCGUGUGGUAGGUUAACAUCAAUUUCGGAUGUCAUAAAAUGGCUGGAGGAAUGUAGCUUCGGUCUCGUACUGAAGUGUUAUAGCCUUUGGUAGAUGUGAUGACCGGGAUUGAGGAUUGCAACGAAUACCUUUUGGGCUAUCCGUCUGAUCUCUGAAAGUUGCUCUGGUGCCGAAAGCUUGCUUACGGUUAUCAAAGUUGACGUUCAAAAGGUUAGAACGGGUUAAAUUCGUUAAGGAUGUUGACGUAAUGGCUUUAAACGACCCGUCUUGAAACACGGACCA
rnacentral:rRNA from 1 species